rnacentral:rRNA from 1 species
AUUAGAUACCCUGGUAGUCCACGCUGUAAACGAUGGAUACUAGGUGCAGGUGAGUAUUUUUCUGUGCCGUAGCUAACGCGUUAAGUAUCCCGCCUGGGGAGUACGGUCGCAAGGCUGAAACUCAAAGAAAUUGACGGGGGCCCGCACAAGCGGUGGAGUAUGUGGUUUAAUUCGAUGCAACGCGAAGAACCUUACCCAGGCUUGACAUCUAGGGAACCUAACAGAGAUGUUGGGGUGCUCUUCGGAGAACCCUAAGACAGGUGCUGCAUGGCUGUCGUCAGCUCGUGCCGUGAGGUGUUGGGUUAAGUUCCGCAACGAGCGCAACCCCUGUCCUUAGUUGCCAGCAGGUGAAGCUGGGCACUCUAGGGAGACCGCUUCGGUUAACGGAGAGGAAGGUGGGGACGACGUCAAGUCAUCAUGGCCCUUACGCCUGGGGCUACACACGUACUACAAUGGUGCAUACAAAGGGUUGCGAAACCGCGAGGUCAGGCUAAUCCCAAAAAAUGCAUCUCAGUUCGGAUUGGAGUCUGCAACUCGACUCCAUGAAGUCGGAAUCGCUAGUAAUUCCAGAUCAGCAUGCUGGGGUGAAUGCGUUCCCGGGCCUUGUACACACCGCCCGUCACACCACGAAAGUUGGUUUUACCCGAAGCCGAUGAGCUAACAGCAAUGAGGCAAUCGUCUACGGUAGGCCCGAUGAUUGGGGUGAAGUCGUAACAAGGUAAC